CCUACGGGACGCAGCAGCGGGGGAUAUUGCACAAUGGGGGAAACCCUGAUGCAGCGACGCCGCGUGGGUGAAGAAGCGCCUCGGCGCGUAAAGCCCUGUCAGCAGGGAAGAAAAUGACGGUACCUGAAGAAGAAGCCCCGGCUAACUACGUGCCAGCAGCCGCGGUAAUACGUAGGGGGCAAGCGUUAUCCGGAUUUACUGGGUGUAAAGGGGGCGCAGACGGCGAUGCAAGCCAGGAGUGAAAGCCCGGGGCCCAACCCCGGGACUGCCCUUGGCACUGCGUGGCUAGAGGGCAGGAGGGGCAG
rnacentral:rRNA from 1 species